rnacentral:rRNA from 1 species
UACGUAGGGGGCAAGCGUUGUCCGGAAUUAUUGGGCGUAAAGAGCGUGUAGGCGGUUCGAUAAGUCUGCUGUAAAAGUCGGGGGCUCAACCCUCGAAGGCCGGUAGAUACUGUCGGGCUAGAGUACGGAAGAGGCGAGUGGAAUUCCUGGUGUAGCGGUGAAAUGCGCAGAUAUCAGGAGGAACACCAAUUGCGAAGGCAGCUCGCUGGGACGUUACUGACGCUGAGACGCGAAAGCGUGGGGAGCAAACAGG